rnacentral:lncRNA from 1 species
GCCUGAGGAGGAUGUGGAGAAGAAAGGAAAUUCAUCAAAAGGAAGAGGAGGAAAAGAAAAAAAAAAAAGAAAAAAAAAAAGAAAUGGAGAAAAAAAAAAGAAGAGAAAGGAAAUGAGAGGCGGAAAAAAAAACUGGGGAAAAAAGACAACUUUUUGAGACUGGAAUUAAAACCCGAGCCCGAAGCCCCGUCGACCGCAGCUCCAGGGGAUGCCUUUGCCACCAGAAAAAUUCAACAGCAUUCAGCUGUUGUUGAGACCAUUUUAUGGCUGUUUACCAGGAGGACAAAAGAGAAAUCGAUGUGAAACACAAGCAAAUUCAUCCCCUUCUUGUGUGAGAUGGGCAGAGGCUUCGCCUGGUCCAGCCGAUUUUUGGGUACGAAAUCACUGCACUAAGGUUAAAAUGAGAGAAGGGGGGAAAACAAAAAUCACUUUGUACAACAUACAACCUGGUGGGGUGUGAAGCGGUUAAUUUUACUACAGCUCUUGAAAUAUUUUGGGGUGUUUUUAGCUGAAGACCCGGUUGAGGGAGGGUUGUGGUUUAGGUGAAAAUCACGGUGUUCCACGAGGCUGGUUUGUUGUUCCUCCGCGUUUCUCCCCAUCCCUCGGUUGCCAUGAGACCCAGAAACUUGAAAGCCGAGAGGAUGUACCGAGCGAGUUUAACCCCGGUGCGAUGGGAAUUUUGGCAGCAGAUUAAAAAUAACCCAAAAUUUAUCCUUGGAAGAAAAAGAAAUCAAAAUAAAUUUGAUUUUUUUUUCCUUUUUUUUUUUCCU